UACGUAGGGGGCGAGCGUUGUCCGGAGUUACUGGGCGUAAAGGGCAUGCAGGCGGUCCGACACGUUUUGUGUGACAGCGGGUGGCUUAACUACCCGAGGAUGCGAAAGACGGUUGGACUUGAGGACUCGAGAGGGACACGGAAUUCCGGGUGGAGUGGUGAAAUGCGUAGAGAUCCGGAGGAACACCGGAAGGCGAAGGCAGUGUCCUGGCGAGUGACUGACGCUGAGGUGCGAAAGCCAGGGGAGCGAACGGG
rnacentral:rRNA from 1 species